rnacentral:rRNA from 1 species
GACGAACGCUGGCGGCGUGCUUAACACAUGCAAGUCGAACGGAGAUUAAGGAAUUAGUUUACUAAUACUUUAAUCUUAGUGGCGGACGGGUGAGUAACGCGUGGGUAACCUACCCUUAAAACCGGGACAACAGCUGGAAACGGCUGCUAAUACCGGAUAAUCUUCUAGUUCGGCAUCGAACUAGGAGGAAAGGUGGCCUCUGAAUAUGCUACCGAUUAAGGAUGGACCCGCGUCUGAUUAGCUAGUUGGUAGGGUAGUAGCCUACCAAGGCGACGAUCAGUAGCCGGCCUGAGAGGGUGACCGGCCACACUGGGACUGAGACACGGCCCAGACUCCUACGGGAGGCAGCAGUGGGGAAUCUUCCGCAAUGGGCGCAAGCCUGACGGAGCAACGCCGCGUGAAUGAAGAAGGCCUUCGGUCGUAAGUUCUGUUGAAGGGAAGAAGUCUGUGUGUGUGAAUAAUGCAUACAGGUGACGGUACCUUUUGUAGGAAGCUCCGGCUAACUACGUGCCAGCAGCC